rnacentral:rRNA from 1 species
GAUGAACGCUGGCGGCGUGCUUAACACAUGCAAGUCGAACGGAAACAGGAUGAAGCCUAGCGAUUCCUGUUUUAGUGGCGGACGGGUGAGUAACGCGUGGGUAACCUGCCUUACACUGGGGGAUAACAGUUAGAAAUAGCUGCUAAUACCGCAUAAGCGCACAGGGCCGCAUGGCCUGGUGUGAAAAACUCCGGUGGUGUAAGAUGGACCCGCGUCUGAUUAGCUAGUUGGUGAGGUAACGGCCCACCGAGGCGACGAUCAGUAGCCGGCCUGAGAGGGUGAACGGCCACAUUGGGACUGAGACACGGCCCAAACUCCUACGGGAGGCAGCAGUGGGGAAUAUUGCACAAUGGGGGAAACCCUGAUGCAGCGACGCCGCGUGAGUGAAGAAGUAUUUCGGUAUGUAAAGCUCUAUCAGCAAGGAAGAAAAUGACGGUACUUGAGGAAUAAGCAUCGGCUAACCCUGUACCAGCCGCCGCGGUAACAC